ensembl:misc_RNA 7SK 7SK RNA
GGAUGUGAGGGCGAUCUGGCUGCGACAUCUGUCACCCCAUUGAUCGCCAGGGUUGAUUCAGCUGAUCUGGCUGGCUAGCCGGGUGUCCCCUUCCUCCCUCACCGCUCCAUGUGCGUCCAUCCCGAAGCUGCGCGCUUGGUCGAAGAGGACGACCAUCCCUGAUAGAGGAGGACCGUUCUUCAGUCAAGGGUAUACGAGUAGCUGCGCUCCCCUGCUAGAACCUCCAAACAAGCUCUCAAGGUCCAGAAAGAAGUCGACUCAAUAUAUAUAUUUUAUAAUCCAGAGGGUGUGUGCACUCAUCAG